rnacentral:rRNA from 1 species
ACACGUAGGGGGCGAGCGUUGUCCGGAAUCACUGGGCGUAAAGGGCGUGUAGGCGGCUGAUAAAGUCAGGUGUGAAAUGCCUCGGCUCAACCGAGGACUAGCACAUGAAACUAAUUAGCUUGAGUGCAGGAGAGGGGAGCGGAAUUCCCGGUGUAGCGGUAAAAUGCGUAGAUAUCGGGAAGAACACCGGUGGCGAAGGCGGUUCUCUGGACUGUAACUGACGCUGAGGCGCGAAAGCUGGGGUAGCGAACGGGAUUAGAUACCCCGGUAGUCCCAGCCGUAAACUAUGGGUACUAGGUGUUGGCAGUCGACCUGUCAGUGCCGUAGCAAACGCAUUAAGUAUCCCGCCUGGGGAGUACGGCCGCAAGGCUGAA